GACGAACGCUGGCGGCGUGCUUAACACAUGCAAGUCGAACGGAAAGGCCCUGCUUUUGUGGGAUGCUCGAGUGGCGCACAGGUGAGUAUCACGUGAGUGACCUGCCCUUGACUUUGGGGUAACUUCAGUAGACUGGAGUUCAAACAGCGUAGGAGCUCCUUCUGCAUAGGUGUGAUUGGAAAAUGUCGCAGGUUGGUGACGGACUCGUGGCUUAUCAGCUUGUUGGUGGGGUAGUGAAGUACCAAGGCUUUGACGGGUAGCCGGACUGAGAGGGUGACCGGCCACAUUGGGAUUGAGGUAGGGGCCAGACUGCUACGUGAGGCAGCAGUGGGGAAUAUUGCACAAUGCGCGGAAGCCGGAUGCAGCAACGCCGCGUGGGGGAUGACGGUUGUCGGGUUGUAAACCGCUUUCGCCUGGGACGAAGCGUGAGUGACGGUAAUGGGUAAAGAAGCACCGGCUAACUACGUG
rnacentral:rRNA from 1 species